AGUGAACGCUGGCGGUAGGCCUAACACAUGCAAGUCGAACGGCCGCACAGUAAGAGCUCGCCCCUACGGGUGGCGAGUGGCGGACGGGUGAGGCAUACAUCGGAAUCUAAUUUUUCGUGGGGGAUAACGUAGGGCAACUUACGCUAAUACCGCAUACGACCUACGGCUGAAAGCAGUGGAUCUUCGGACUUUGCGCGAUAGAAUGAGCCGAUGUCGGAUUAGCUAGUUGGCGAGGUAACGGACCACCAAGGCAACGAUGCGUAGCCGAUCUGAGAGGAUGAUCGGCCACACUGGAACUGAGACACGGUCCAGACUCCUACGGGAGGCAGCAGUAGGGAAUAUUGCGCAAUGGGCGAAAGCCUGACGGAGCAACGCCGCGUGAGUGAUGAAGGUCUUCGGAUCGUAAAACUCUUUUAUUAGGGAAGAACAAAUGUGUAAGUAACUAUGCACGUCUUGACGGUACCUAAUCAGAAAGCCACGGCUAACUACGUG
rnacentral:rRNA from 1 species